rnacentral:rRNA from 1 species
UACGAAGGGGGCGAGCGUUGUUCGGAAUUACUGGGCGUAAAGGGCGCGUAGGCGGUUUGUACAGUCAGAUGUGAAAUUCCUGGGCUCAACCUGGGGGCUGCAUUUGAUACGUGCGGACUUGAGUGAGGAAGAGGGUCGUGGAAUUCCCAGUGUAGAGGUGAAAUUCGUAGAUAUUGGGAAGAACACCGGUGGCGAAGGCGGCGACCUGGUCCUUGACUGACGCUGAGGCGCGAAAGCGUGGGGAGCAAACAGG